GGGAACGUGAGCUGGGUUUAGACCGUCGUGAGACAGGUCGGACUUUAUCUGCUGGGAGUGUUAGCUGCCUGAGGGGAAAGGGUCCCUAGUACGAGAGGAACGGGACGCUGUAGCCUCUAGUCAACCGGUUGUCCGAUAGGGCAAACGCCGGGCAGCCACGCUGCUGAGGAUAAGAGCUGAAAGCAUCUAAGCUCGAAGCCUCUCCCGAAAAGAGGCAGCCAUUCUCGUUUACGAGACGAAGGCUCUCAUAAAAGAUGAGUUUGAUGGGACUGGGGUGUACGC
rnacentral:rRNA from 1 species